rnacentral:rRNA from 1 species
AGAGUUUGAUCCUGGCUCAGAACUAACGCUGGCGGCGUGCCUAACACAUGCAAGUCGUACGAGAAAGUCCCGUUCGCGGGAUGAGUAAAGUGGCGCACGGGUGAGUAACGCGUGGAUAAUCUGCCCUUUAGUUCGGAAUAACGUACCGAAAGGUGCGCUAAUACCGGGUAAUGCUGAGCGACUACUGUCGCUUAGCCAAAGAAGGCUUCUGUUUACAUGCUUUUGCUGAAGGAUGAGUCCGCGUACCAUUAGCUAGUUGGUAUGGUAAUGGCCUACCAAGGCGACGAUGGUUAGCUGGUCUGAGAGGAUGAUCAGCCACACUGGAACUGAGACACGGUCCAGACUCCUACGGGAGGCAGCAGUGAGGAAUAUUGCGCAAUGGGGGCAACCCUGACGCAGCAACGCCGCGUGAGUGAGGAAGGUUUUCGGACCGUAAAGCUCUGUCGAGCGGGAAGAAAUGCAUGGUGGCUAAUAUCCAUCAUGCUUGACGGUACCGCUAAAGGAAGCACCGGCUAACUCCGUGCCAGCAGCCGCGGUAAUACGGGGGGUGCAAGCGUUGUUCGGAAUUAUUGGGCGUAAAGAGCGUGUAGGCGGCUGGAUAAGUCAGAUGUGAAAUCCCUGCGCUUAACCCAGGACGUGCAUUUGAAACUGUCCAGCUUGAGUAAGGGAGAGGAAAGUGGAAUUCCUGGUGUAGAGGUGAAAUUCGUAGAUAUCACGAGGAACACCGGUGGCGAGGGCGACUUUCUGGCCCUAUACUGACGCUGAGACGCGAGAGCGUGGGUAGCAAACAGGAUUAGAUACCCUGGUAGUCCACGCUGUAAACGAUGUUCACUAGGUGUUGGGGGUAUUGACCCUCUCAGUGCCGCAGCUAACGCAUUAGUGAACCGCCUGGGGAGUACGGUCGCAAGAUUAAAACUCAAAUGAAUUGACGG